rnacentral:SRP_RNA from 1 species
GUUGGGCACGGUGGCUCAUGCCUGUAAUCCCAGCACUUUGGGAUGCUGAGGUGGGAGGAUCACUUGAGUCCAGGAGUUCAAGGCUGCAGUGAGCUGUGUUCACGCCACUGCACUCCAGCCUGGGCAAUAGAGCGAGAUUCCAUCUCAA